GUGGGGAAUAUUGGGCAAUGGGCGAAAGCCUGACCCAGCAACGCCGCGUGAAGGAAGAAGGUCUUCGGAUCGUAAACUUCUAUCCUUGGUGAAGAUAAUGACGGUAGCCGAGAAGGAAGCCCCGGCUAACUACGUGCCAGCAGCCGCGGUAAUACGUAGGGGGCAAGCGUUGUCCGGAAUGAUUGGGCGUAAAGGGCGCGUAGGCGGCCUGGUAAGUCUGGAGUGAAAGUCCUGCUUUUAAGGUGGGAAUUGCUUUGGAUACUGUCGGGCUUGAGUGCAGGAGAGGUAAGCGGAAUUCCCGGUGUAGCGGUGAAAUGCGUAGAGAUCGGGAGGAACACCAGUGGCGAAGGCGGCUUACUGGACUGUAACUGACGCUGAGGCGCGAAAGUGUGGGGAGCAAACAGGAUUAGAAACCCUAGUAGUCC
rnacentral:rRNA from 1 species